rnacentral:rRNA from 1 species
GACGAACGCUGGCGGCGUGCUUAACACAUGCAAGUCGAACGGAAAGGCCCUGCUUUUGUGGGGUGCUCGAGUGGCGAACGGGUGAGUAACACGUGAGUAACCUGCCCUUGACUUUGGGAUAACUUCAGGAAACUGGGGCUAAUACCGGAUAGGAGCUCCUGCUGCAUGGUGGGGGUUGGAAAGUUUCGGCGGGUGGGGAUGGACUCGCGGCUUAUCAGCUUGUUGGUGGGGUAGUGGCUUACCAAGGCUUUGACCGGUAGCCGGCAUGAGAGGGUGACCGGCCACAAUGGGACUGAGAUACGGCCCAGACUCCUACGGGAGGCAGCAGUGGGGAAUAUUGCACAAUGGGCGGAAGCCUGAUGCAGCAACGCCGCGUGCGGGAUGACGGCCUUCGGGUUGUAAACCGCUUUCGCCUGUGACGAAGCGUGAGUGACGGUAAUGGGUAAAGAAGCACCGGCUAACUACGUG